UUUGGCAACAGAUUGAGCCCAAUAAUGGGCUCACAAUCUAAAUGGGGGAGACAGGCAGCAAAACAAAACAAGUAGAUUGAUUGCCAAGCUCUGAGCUAAACAUUGAUCUAGAUAUGACUCCAUAAGACCCUGGGCCUCACUGGUUUAACUCCUUAGUCCAUCCAGUUGUCUGCCUUAACAAUGUCACUAAAAGACACUUGAGGAAAGGGGGUGGUGGUUCUCCUCCAUAAGUAUCUUGAUGAUUUAUGCCUGCUUCCUCUUCCUUUCCUUUGCCACAUUCAGGUAGAAAUUAAACACCUGCAGAGUGUCUCCAGCGCAGCUCAUCAGGAAAGGAAUCUUUUAGCGAAACAGCACAAAGACAUCUUCAGUAUGCAGCAAUCAACAGUUCUUCUGCAACAGGAAUGGCAGAGUUUGGUUAAAAAGCAGCAGCCUCCCGAUGUUCAGACAGAUGUCAAGGGAGCAGUAUGCCUGAAGGCAGAGAAGAGUCUCAGACCUGGGAUAUCAACACUGAAUCUGGAAGGAGCCAUGAACUCAAAAGUGCCUGAUGUGGCAGAAAAACAAACCAGUCGUGUUCCAGAAGGAAGAAAGCAAAGACAUAAGGAUAAAAAGUGUGUUUGGGUUUUGCUUUACAGUUGAAAUG
rnacentral:lncRNA from 1 species